rnacentral:rRNA from 1 species
UACGAAGGGUGCAAGCGUUGUUCGGAAUUAUUGGGCGUAAAGGGUUUGUAGGCGGUAAGACAAGUCAAGUGUGAAAUGCCCGAGCUCAACUUGGGGAGUGCAUUUGAAACUGUUUUUCUUGAGUGUUGAAGAGGGUGGCGGAAUUGCUGGUGUAGGAGUGACAUCCGUAGAGAUCAGCAGGAACACCGGAGGCGAAAGCGGCCACCUAGUCGACAACUGACGCUGAGGAACGAGAGCGUGGGGAGCAAACAGG